UCAGGUGCAUUAGGACCUGAGGUGGUCCACAGACUAUCCUCUCAAAAUACUGGGUGGUCUGUUUCUUAAUCCAUUGCCAUGGCAUACACAUGAAGGCGUCUUCACUUCAAAGGGCAACUCAGGAGCCAAUGAACGAAAUAAAUGUCAAGUUGAAGAAAUGAGUGCUACAGGAAGAUCUACAAUGAUGAACUAUCUUUCCGCAGCUCGCAGGUGCGGCCAAGAACACUACAGGGUGACAUGGACAUCCCUGUCACAACCGUGACGGCUAGACGGACAGACAGACAGACAUACAGGGUAUAGUAUGGCUUCUACGGAUCAUCCGCAUAUCUUGGAAAAAUGAGUAAUGAGUACAAGUUGCUUAAGCGCGGGUUUAUUUCGUACCAGUGGGCAUUUUCAUAAAUUGCGACCCAAAAUGAGUGACAGUUGUUAACAAAAA